UUUCCGUAGGUGAACCUGCGGAAGGAUCAUUAUUGUAUAACCGAGGGGCGAGGGCUGUCGCUGACCCGAAAGGUCGUGCACGCCCGAGUGCCCUCACACACAUCCAUCUCACCCCUAUGUGCACCACCGCGUGGGUCCCCCUUUGGCUUGUUCGGAGGGGGGCUUACGUUUUCACACAAACUUUGUAUGCAGUGUAGAAUGUAUUUUUUGUUUUUGCGAUCACGCAAUCAAUACAACUUUCAACAACGGAUCUCUUGGCUCUC
rnacentral:misc_RNA from 1 species